rnacentral:rRNA from 1 species
AACGAACGCUGGCGGUAUGCCUAACACAUGCAAGUCGAACGAGACCUCAGGGUCAAGUGGCGCACGGGUGCGUAAAGCGUGGGAACCUGCCCUUAGGCUCGGAAUUACACUCCGAAAGGGGUGCUAAUACCGGGAAAUGUACUCGGACAAAAGAUUUAUCGCAUUUGGAUGGGCCCGCGUUGUAUUAGCUAGUCGGUAGGGUAAAAGCCUACGAAGGAGACGCUCGAUAGCUGGUCAGAGAGGCUGAUAAGCGACACUGGGACUGAGACGCGGCGCAGACUCCUGCGGGAGGGAGCAGUGGUUAAUAUAGCACAAUGGGCGAGAGCCUGAACCAGCAAUGCCUGGUGAGUGAUGAAGUCCGGAGAGUAGUAAAGCUCUUUUACCCGCGGUGGUAAUGACGGUACCGAAAGAAUAAGCUCCGGCUAACUCCGUG